rnacentral:rRNA from 1 species
UACAGAGGGGGCAAGCGUUGUUCGGAAUUACUGGGCGUAAAGGGCGCGUAGGCGGCCUGCUAAGUCGAACGUGAAAUCCCCGGGCUCAACCCGGGAACUGCGUCCGAUACUGGCAGGCUUGAAUCCGGGAGAGGGAUGCGGAAUUCCAGGUGUAGCGGUGAAAUGCGUAGAUACUGGGAGGAACACCGGUGGCGAAGGCGGCUACCUGGACCGGUUCUGACGCUGAUGCGCGAAAGCGUGGGUAGCAAACAGG